AACGAACGCUGGCGGCGCGCCUAAUACAUGCAAGUCGAGCGAGAAGACGUAGCAAUACGUUUGUAAAGCGGCGAACGGGUGAGGAAUACAUGGGUAACCUACCCUCGAGUGGGGAAUAACUAGCCGAAAGGUUAGCUAAUACCGCGUACGCUCCUCGGACUUCGGUUCAGGGAGGAAAGCGAUACCGUGGGUAUCGCGCUCUUGGAUGGGCUCAUGUCCUAUCAGCUUGUUGGUGAGGUAACGGCUCACCAAGGCUUCGACGGGUAGCUGGUCUGAGAGGACGAUCAGCCACACUGGCACUGCGACACGGGCCAGACUCCUACGGGAGGCAGCAGUAAGGAAUAUUGCGCAAUGGGCGAAAGCCUGACGCAGCGACGCCGCGUGGGGGAGUGAA
rnacentral:rRNA from 1 species